GGGGCCCUUGUGAAGCAGCUGCCCGCGUUUCCAAAGCACGUAUGGUGAUGUGGAAGGUGCGGAAGUACGUCGGUGAAAUAUAAUGUGGUAGGACUGGAGAGAAUAGUGUAGCAGUAUAAUGUAUUGUGAGUGUAGCUGAAGCUUUCAUCGUGGGCGCGUCUCGUUGCAAGCUAAGCAACGCGUAUACAUGACGUGUAGCAUCAGUCCUCAGUUCACUUCUUGUAACGAACAUCAGCAUAGGUCCAAGCCCUCUCGCUUGGAGGGAUAUAUGCAAACAAACAUCCUGAUAGGUAAACUCGCAUGCUACCGAGCAUUCAACCGAGCACAUGCAUGCUUAGUUGAAUGGUGAGAUGCGACCCCCCUUCAUUUCGUGCUCGGCAAGCCUGCCACCGCGUACCGGAUAUGUUGGCGAUGUUACAGAGAUGCUGCACCUUGGUUUCUGUGCGCAAUGCAUACGAUGCUCGACCCCGCCGACCAAAACUACACGUGCCCAACUGAAGACACACCGGUGGUUGUGCAGCAGCUCUUGAGGCUUUGUUGGCUGAAAUCCAGCCUGAGACGCUGCACCUCGGUACCUGUGCGCAAUGCGUACGCUGCUCGCCCGCGCCGACCAAAACUACAUGUUCCCAUCUGAAGACAAUGCCUGUGGUUCUUAAACAGAAUUUGAGCUUGCUGAUGGCUCAAGUCCUUCCGUAGUAGCUGCAACACGGCUAACGCAGGCACGGCCGAAUGCGCUGCGAAAAGCUGUUCCAAGCCCUCAGCGGCAUCCAUUUUAUUUGCAAGGUUCUGAACGACUUUCGCGAUUCUUCUCUUUACCUAAUUCUGCGUUGUUAUUAUUUAUUUCGUAAGAGUGUAACUUGAGUUUAGUCGGAACAAUGUGCAUUAUGCGCUGCGCUACCGAAAGCAGGCGCCUUAUGAGCCGACCGCUUCAUCUUCUGCGGCAGUUUCACGAGCCCAGAAUUGCAAGCUAGGACGUUGGCAUUCGGUGCUUUCAGUUACUGCAAAGCAUCCAGGCAAUAGUCCAGCAUGCAUGCCGCGUGCGGCUAUGGCCAACAUGCCCACUUGCGCAAGGCGCUGGCGCACGUGGUCCUCAUCCGCCAAGAAAAUUUAUAUACACUUGUACAGGCGCAUUUUGUGAAUCGUACGCGCGCAUCUGCGCGGCAAAAUUCGCUCCUGGAAUUUUUGGACGAUGUACGGAUGUUUUAUUCGCGAAGUACGACCGGACACAUUUGUGCGAGAGGCUGCUUAACCAAAGAUGGGGGCCCUUGUGAAGCAGCUGCCCGCGUUUCCAAAGCACGUAUGGUGAUGUGGAAGGUGCGGAAGUACGUCGGUGAAAUAUAAUGUGAAAUAUAAUGUGGUAGGACUGGAGAGGAUAGUGUAGCAGUAUAAUGUAUUGUGAGUGUAGCUGAAGCUUUCAUCGUGGGCGCGUCUCGUUGCAAGCUAAGCAACGCGUAUACAUGACGUGUAGCAUCAGUCCUCAGUUCACUUCUUGUAACGAACAUCAGCAUAGGUCCAAGCCCUCUCGCUUGGAGGGAUAUAUGCAAACAAACAUCCUGAUAGGUAAACUCGCAUGCUACCGAGCAUUCAACCGAGCACAUGCAUGCUUAGUUGAAUGGUGAGAUGCGACCCCCCUUCAUUUCGUGCUCGGCAAGCCUGCCACCGCGUACCGGAUAUGUUGGCGAUGUUACAGAGACGCUGCACCUUGGUUUCUGUGCGCAAUGCAUACGAUGCUCGACCCCGCCGACCAAAACUACACGUGCCCAACUGAAGACACACCGGUGGUUGUGCAGCAGAUCUUGAGGCUUUGUUGGCUGAAAUCCAUCCUGAGAGCUGCACCUCGGUACCUGUGCGCAAUGCGUACGCU
rnacentral:lncRNA from 1 species